AGAGUUUGAUCCUGGCUCAGGACGAACGCUGGCGGCGUGCCUAACACAUGCAAGUCGAGCGAUGAAGUUCCUUCGGGAACGGAUUAGCGGCGGACGGGUGAGUAACACGUGGGCAACCUGCCUUAUAGAGGGGAAUAGCCUUCCGAAAGGAAGAUUAAUACCGCAUAAGAUUGUAGCUUCGCAUGAAGUAGCAAUUAAAGGAGCAAUCCGCUAUAAGAUGGGCCCGCGGCGCAUUAGCUAGUUGGUGAGGUAACGGCUCACCAAGGCGACGAUGCGUAGCCGACCUGAGAGGGUGAUCGGCCACAUUGGGACUGAGACACGGCCCAGACUCCUACGGGAGGCAGCAGUGGGGAAUAUUGCACAAUGGGGGAAACCCUGAUGCAGCAACGCCGCGUGAGUGAUGACGGCCUUCGGGUUGUAAAGCUCUGUCUUUGGGGACGAUAAUGACGGUACCCAAGGAGGAAGCCACGGCUAACUACGUGCCAGCAGCCGCGGU
rnacentral:rRNA from 3 species